rnacentral:rRNA from 1 species
AUUGAACGCUGGCGGCAGGCCUAACACAUGCAAGUCGAGCGAGCGGCGGACGGGUGAGUGAUGUCUGGGAAACUGCCUGAUGGAGGGGGAUAACUACUGGAGACGGUAGCUAAUACCGCAUACGAUCAGCGGUGCCCAGAUGGGAUUAGCUAGUAGGUGGGGUAAUGGCUCACCUAGGCGACGAUCCCUAGCUGGUCUGAGAGGAUGACCAGCCACCCUGGAACUGAGACACGGUCCAGACUCCUACGGGAGGCAGCAGUGGGGAAUAUUGCACAAUGGGCGCAAGCCUGAUGCAGCCAUGCCGCGUGUGUGAAGAAGGCCUUCGGGUUGUAAAGUACUUUCAGCGGGGAGGCGUUACCCGCAGAAGAAGCACCGGCUAACUCCGUGCCAGCAGCCGCGGUAAUAC